rnacentral:lncRNA from 1 species
UCUCAGGUCAAAAAGUUGGACAGUGGAGCACACCUCAACACUGUCACCUGUGUCAAGAGUCAGAUUUGUGGGAAAAGAUUUCCAGAAAAUCAAAAAAAAAAAAAAAGACUCUAGUCAUGAGCGAUGGGUUAAGAGAACGUUCCAUUAAUUUUUCACUCAAAAAUCCAGUGAUAACAGCUCUUUGAGUGUUUCCAGGAAGUUCUACAGGAAAAGAAUUUAGUUAUCAAAAUUAGCUAAUUGCAAAUGACCAUUACAUCGACAUUCAAAAACACAAUUACAAAGUAGACAUUGAGAACUAACCAUGACAAGAAUUUUGAAUCAGAAAUAUGGAAGAAUAGGAAAUGCCCCAAUUUUGGGGGCAUUCCUUUUCUAAAUGAUGAGUGAAUUUGUGCCUGGCUUGGAAAACUUAACUCAAAAAAUAUAUUAACAACACAUGCAAAAUUUAAGCAAUUCCUCACUCUAAGAUCACUAUGCUACCAUUGGUAAGUGCUCAUGAAGGUGAAGGUACAUUUUUCUUUUGAGUUGCAUUCUCUCAUGAAAAACGAAAAGGAGACACUCAUAAUCAUGGAAUGACAGCAUAGGAUCGACAUCAAGAAAACUAACUUGCAAUCAACCAUAACCAUUUGAAGUAGUCUCACCAAUUUCAGGGGCUUUCAUAAACUAUGCAACAUGUCUCAUCUCAGGAUCAUGUCCAUAAAUUAAUCAUGAGAUAAAAACAUGACAGAAUAGUUAUAACCAUUUCUUCAUCCAAUAAACGUGCUAUCUAAAUUAUACUAACCAUUGUACCAAUGGGACUCCACUAUUCGGAGAUCAAGUAUUUCAUGAUUUAGAGUUAGGACAAUUAAAUAUAAAUUACUCUUAAGUUGCAUUGCUUUCAUAAACAUAAGCAAGUAAUUAGCUAACACAUCUCUAAUAGAAGUUAAAGAAAAAUUCCUAGAAGAAUCUGAACUCUUUGAGAAAUUGUAACAUGGUUAUUUAGAAAUGUCUUGUUAAUCAAAAUGGGGGGUGGUUAUUAGUUUGUAUUUCAUAAAAAUUAGAUCACCUCCAUACCUAAAACCAAAUGUACUUCUAAUAACAUUGCAACUUCUAUGAUGGUGAUUACCAUCUAAGUUUGUUAAAGGGAAUGCUUUCGUGGGCAGCAAUUAUGACGCAACAUUUACCGGCCUGGUGGCAUGGCAGCAGCAAUGGUGUUGGGGUGGUCAUGACGUUGGUGGUCCCGGUCGUUGGAUAGUGGUACUGGUGGUGGAAGAAGCAUUGGAAGACAUGACGAUGAUAUGAUGUUUAGGUGGUGGUAGUGGUGGAGGAAAAGGUGAUGGACGUAGUGGUCAAAAGGUGUUGAAGGUGGUGGUGAAAAUGGUUUUUGGUAGUCAUGCUGGUUGUUGUGGGCAUGGCCUUGAUGGUGCUAGGGAGGUGGUUAAGACCUCAGUCAAGCAUACCUCUUAACACCUAGGUAUUUUUGGUGUAUUGAUUGUCAUCAUAACAGAAGCAGAAAGAUGGAUUGGAUUCUGGGUAGGGGAGAGUGUUCAGGCAAGGUGGAUUAGGGGCUGGCCUAGGAUAUGAAAAUAGGGGAUAAGCGUUGAUCCGGGUGGGGGUUAUAGGUCAGGAUCAGAGUUUUUUUUUUUGUCCUUUUCCUUUUAGGGGAAGGGGAGGGCAAAGCCCACUCAAUAUUAAUAGAAAAAUAAACUUAUAGGAAGGAUAAGAGUUGGAGAAUUAGAUAGAGCGUACAAAGUUAAGAGAGAGGCAAAGCAGGAGAGACAAGAUUCCAAAAGAAAAAGAAAUCUGUAAAAAGCUCAGAGCAAUUAAGUAGAGACUAUUCAUUGAGCAGAUAAAGGCCGGUAUUGAGAAUAGCUUUGGCAACUUGGAUUUAUGAAGGAAAAGAUAAUGAUGGAAGAUCUUUUUAUGGCGCUCCCUCCUUAAACUCCAGAAGUUGCAGUCAGAUUUUGGGAAGGGAAUGAAUAGAAUUUGAGGUGAGCUGUGGGUAGAGGACAUAGAUGGAGGUGUGGGUGAUUGGAGCUGGGAAGAAGCAUAGAAUGUGUCAGCUCGUUGAGAAAAUAGGGGGUGAGCUAGUGAGAUUGUCCCAUGCAGUUUCCAUUAUCAUUAUAGUUGCCAAUAUUAUCUCAGCCCUUGUCAAUACCACGGGAUAUUAGGAGUCCAUGGAUGGACAAGGACAGGAAAGAGAUGGGAAAUGAGAAAUCAGGGAGUGUAAGUGAGAGUAAGAGAAAACUCAACGAGUUACGAAAUAAAUUCUACAUGUUAAAGCAAACAUUAAAAAUUUCAAAACAUUGAUCCUUAAGUAUGUCUUUCACUCAAUCAUAAAAACAACUCGUACAAAUUCUAACAAUGAAGCUUCAAAAUACCUUGGUUUCUCCAAUACUCCAAUAUUUUGAGUAUUCUCCCCACAAAGGUAAUAUGAAUCCUCAAUCUAUGAAAAUGAAAAAAAAAAACUCUUGAAGCAAACACAAACAUAGGCAAUCCAGCUUCACAUUGAUACGCAUCUAAAGUGUUCCUUUACAAAAAUAUAAAUUUUCUUGAUAUUAAAAUUCCCACCAAACCCACUUCUAGAUGAUGUCUCAUGUCCUUUAUCCACUUGUUUAAGUAUUAAUGAGGGUCCCAAGCUAAUUAUGUAUCGCCUGAUGCAGCACAAGGUGCAACUAACAGCUACUAUGACCAACUAGAUCAUGCCAAGCCUCAAAACAAGCAGAUUGCGGGUGAAAACUGUAGUAAACAAAAAUUUGAUUUCUUUGGCAGAUUUUCUAUAAAUUUUCUAUUAGGGCCUGUAUCAAAUUUUAGUCACAUGUCUAUAUUUGUAAUAGAAUAAUUCUAGUAUAUUCUUUUUUUAUUGUCAGGCCUCAUUUCGAGUAUGAUUUUGCAUCCGGUUUAAUACCCAAAUUAGGGUUAGGGUAUCAUGUCCUACAAAUACGCAUGUAAUAUAUUGCAACGGACAACCUUCGAGAUAUUAUAAAAUUAUUUUUGAGAGAAUUCCUUUCACCAAAUGAAAAAUUCUUCGAUACAGUUUUCUUCUAUUUAUGUGUUGAUCUUCAAAGCAUAACCUCAUUGAUCAAAUUGCCCCUUCUUCCUCUUCCACUGCAUCAUAAUGUGAAAAGGAUAAAAAAAAAAUCAUCAAAAGAUGAAUUCAACUUACCAAAUGAGAGCAUGAAGAUAUUCAUGUUUCUAUUGUUCAUAAGCAAGAGAACGGAACCUUGUUUCCUUGAAUUCUUCCGAGGUUUGUAGAUGGUGAGCAUUUUUUUUAGCAGAAGGCUAAAAUAGGAUGUUCUGAAUUGUAUUACAAAAAGGCUUUGAUUUUAUAGUUAUCAGAAAAUUAGCAACCCUUUUCCAACCAUAGAACAUCCUGUUUUGUUAACACAAAAUAUAAAAGGACUUCACAAAGAAGCAACCUUUUGCUGGCCAUCACCAAAAUUCCAUCUUUCUUUGUUCCCUUCCCCAAUCAAUCAAAGUCAUCAUAGGAUGACUGCUUGCUUGCUAUAUAAACUCUCUUAUCAAGAAGAAGUCCAUUGAAAAUAAUAGGGCUCUAUACUUCCCUAAUAACUCAUCAUAAUAAUGCUUCACUAUCCUAGCUCUAGGUUUGACAUGAUAGAGAGCAAUUGAAUCCAGAAAACCAACCUAAUUAUCCAAACUCCAUAUAUCCCUCCUUGUUGUGAAACCCUGUCCAAUAACCCUUUUUCACAAUCCAGUCUGCUCUUGGCAUGUCCAUCUGAUGGAAGAUUAAUGUUCUCCUCACUUAAAGGACCUGUAACAAUCAUACCAUGUUUAUUAUAGUUCAGUCCCUCGCAACUGAUGUAACAUGUUAAUUGACCACUAGCAUACAGUAGAAAUAAGAAGAUAAUCUUACAGUUAGUAACAAGCUUGAAAACUCAUUCUAUGGACC